AGUGAACGCUGGCGGCAGGCCUAACACAUGCAAGUCGAGCGGCAGCGCGGGGGCAACCCUGGCGGCGAGCGGCGGACGGGUGAGGAAUUCGUCGGAAUCUGCCUUUUUGUGGGGGAUAACGUAGGGAAACUUACGCUAAUACCGCAUACGUCCUACGGGAGAAAGUGGGGGACCGCAAGGCCUCACGCAGAAAGAUGAGCCGACGACCGAUUAGCUAGUUGGUGGGGUAAAGGCCCACCAAGGCGACGAUCGGUAGCUGGUCUGAGAGGAUGAUCAGCCACACUGGGACUGAGACACGGCCCAGACUCCUUCGGGAGGCAGCAGUGGGGAAUAUUGGACAAUGGGCGCAAGCCUGAUCCAGCCAUGCCGCGUGUGUGAAGAAGGCCUUCGGGUUGUAAAGCACUUUUGUCCGGAAAGAAAUCCCUGGAGCUAAUACCUUCGGGGGAUGACGGUACCGGAAGAAUAAGCACCGGCUAACUUCGUG
rnacentral:rRNA from 1 species